UAUUGUGUAUUCGAGAUUCUCACAUCAAACUAGUUUGCUUCGCUUUAUACGAAUUAGAUUUUGAUCUUUUUCAUGGCUUCUGGUGCUCUAAUGGCGGUUUGAAUCUUGUAUUGAGCAUCUGGUUCACAUUCAGCAGGUUCAUUCAUGAAAUAGGUACUUGUUGACGCUAUCUCAACACAAAUUUUCAUAUUAGUAGAUCAUUCUGUUUGAAUUUUGAAUUGAGUGCACAUUUA